UCUUUUGUGUUUUUUCAAGAGAUGAGGAGUGUGAGGAGCAGCUAGCAAGAUGGUUCACAAGGCCUUAUCUCUCAUCCUUUUCAUCGCUCUCAUAAUUUCGGUUGAAUUGGCUCCAAUAUUGGAAGCCAGAACAAACAAUAUCCCAGCCAGCGUAUGGGGAAGACACAGUGGCAAGGAAUUCAAAGGAAAUAAGAUACGAGGUUCUCAUCAUCGUUCACCAGGCGGACCUCAAGGCUGCGUCGACUGUGGAGGAGGCCGAUGAAGAGGCCAAAAUCUGCGCUAGCUUACAUAUAUUGUUUUUGUCACAAUCUAUAGGGUUCGUUUCUGUUUUUAUUUCAUGAAAAUUAGGAGCCUGAGAAUAUAUGGACUAUGUUGCCAUCAAUAAGUAAGCCUAUGUAUUAAGCAAGAAUUCAUCGACCAAAUCCAUCGAUAAUAUUAGGCUUACACGUUAAUAAUUCAAAGUAACAUAUGUUAUACUCUGUUCAACUAUCACUACAAUAAAUAUGGUCAUUUGCAGUACUCAGAA